rnacentral:rRNA from 1 species
AGAGUUUGAUCCUGGCUCAGGACAAACGCUGGCGGCGUGCCUAACACAUGCAAGUCGAGCGCGAAAGAGACUUCGGUCUUGAGUAAAGCGGCGAACGGGUGAGUAACACGUGGGCAACCUGCCUCAAGGACUGGGAUAACUCCGGGAAACCGGGGCUAAUACCGGGCGAUGUCGUCCCGCGCAAGCGGGCCGACCAAAUGGUAGCUUCGGCUUCUGCCUUGAGAUGGGCCCGCGUCCUAUCAGCUUGUUGGUGAGGUAACGGCUCACCAAGGCUUCGACGGGUAGCUGGUCUGAGAGGAUGAUCAGCCACACUGGGACUGAGAUACGGCCCAGACUCCUACGGGAGGCAGCAGUGGGGAAUCUUGCGCAAUGGGCGAAAGCCUGACGCAGCAACGCCGCGUGAGCGAAGAAGGCCUUCGGGUUGUAAAGCUCUGUCAGGGGGAAAGAAGGCACCUGGGUUAAUAGCCCAAGGGCUGACGGUACCCCCAAAGGAAGCCACGGCUAACUACGUGCCAGCAGCCGCGGUAAUACGUAGGUGGCGAGCGUUGUCCGGAAUCAUUGGGCGUAAAGAGCGCGUAGGUGGCUUGUCAGGUCCGAUGUGAAAUCCUGGGGCUCAACUCCAGGCGUGCAUCGGAAACCGGCUUGCUAGAGUCUGGGAGAGGAGAGUGGAAUUCCUGGUGUAGCGGUGAAAUGCGUAGAUAUCAGGAGGAACACCAGUAGCGAAGGCGGCUCUCUGGAACAGUACUGACACUGAGGCGCGAAAGCUAGGGGAGCGAACAGGAUUAGAUACCCUGGUAGUCCUAGCCGUAAACGAUGGACACUAGGUGUCGGGGGUGUCGACUCCCCCGGUGCCGAAGCUAACGCAUUAAGUGUCCCGCCUGGGGAGUACGGCCGCAAGGCUAAAACUUAAAGGAAUUGACGG